rnacentral:rRNA from 1 species
AUUGAACGCUGGCGGCAGGCUUAACACAUGCAAGUCGAGCGGGGAAAGGUAGCUUGCUACCUGACCUAGCGGCGGACGGGUGAGUAAUGCUUAGGAAUCUGCCUAUUAGUGGGGGACAACAUCUCGAAAGGGAUGCUAAUACCGCAUACGUCCUACGGGAGAAAGCAGGGGACCUUCGGGCCUUGCGCUAAUAGAUGAGCCUAAGUCGGAUUAGCUAGUUGGUGGGGUAAAGGCCUACCAAGGCGACGAUCUGUAGCGGGUCUGAGAGGAUGAUCCGCCACACUGGGACUGGAAGACGGCCCAGACUCCUACGGGAGGCAGCAGUGGGGAAUAUUGGACAAUGGGGGGAACCCUGAUCCAGCCAUGCCGCGUGUGUGAAGAAGGCCUUUUGGUUGUAAAGCACUUUAAGCGAGGAGGAGGCUACCGAGAUUAAUACUCUUGGAUAGUGGACGUUACUCGCAGAAUAAGCACCGGCUAACUCUGUGCCAGCCGCCGCGGUAAUAC